UCUCUCUCUCUCUCUCUCUCUGGCGUCGGUGGCUGCUGUGUUUCUGUCGUGGCUGCCUUUCAACCGUCUUAUUGAACAAUUCUCCACUACUCAACAAUGUGCACUUUCUAAAUUCACCAAGUUAUCAAGAACUUAGAAAUAUGAAGCUCCAGAUAACAGCAGCGAGGCCGCCUGUGCUCCGUGACGGGCUCAGCUGCUGGCCAACUGGCAGGACCCCGUCACCACCCCUGCCGCCGCCACUCCCAGCCAGCCACGUGCACCAUAGCUAAGUUAUCUGUUAGUUUUAAUUAUACCUAGCUAGACUUUGUGUUUGUGUGAGCCGAGAGACGUAGAGUAAGUGAAAUCUAAAAGUUUCGUUAAACAUUAUCCAACCCAAACAGCUGUGAGCAAACCACUGCACCAACACAGCCAAGGUCUACACGUCAGCUUUGUCACAGAUAUGUAAUGAUCUUUGCUAACAAUGACCUAGUAUCUCAAUGUAACUGAGAAACUGUCUUGAAUACCAUGGCAACUUCAUCAACACUGACCUGACUUAAACAGCGGGAAGUAUUGUGCGAGAGUUGACACAACACAUGACCGUUCCUUCUCUCAGCUGACCCUCCAACUCCACGCACCAUUGAGUUUAAAAAAUUCCUCCCCUCCCCCCUCUGAUAAAGCUACCUUCUAACCUCAAGGGGUACAGUAGUUCAGGUUAAAUCCUCAAAAUUUUUAUCCCUCAUCUGCCACUGGAUUGGGUUUGCUACAGCUGAGGAGAGACUACUGAAAACUAUUAUGUAUGGAGAUGGUUGGGCCACAUCAUUUAGUGUGGAAGGGAGGAUGACAAGGACUAGAGGAUGAGUUUGAGGACCACCAGGGGAAGACGGGAGCACCAUCUCAAACUACAAGGUUGAUAAUGUUGUCCAGAACUCUGCACACAAUGCCUGGUGUGGGAAGCUGGAAGAAGGUGACAAGUUAGGACACAGGAUAAACCAAGGAGGAGCAAGUGAACACCAAGGAAUUUACAGGCAAGAACUUUAGUUAAAUUUGACUAGUUCUGGAGUCUUGAUUUAUUGCUGAAGCUUGAAUAUACUUGUUGAUAAUGUAGAAACUAUUACUGUGAUAUAGUUGGUGUAUUAUUAGUAUACAGUGCUGGUCGUCUAGUAAGAAUAUGUCUCCAUUAUGAAAGCAACAUGCUCAUAUGAUAAAAGAAUCACCCUCAAGUAUAUGGCAUGAAUUCAGCAAGACCAAAGCAAAGGUAUGCCUCUGGGAGGGGGUGAAGCUUAGUCUGGAGUCCCCACACACAAUUUCUGUCUCAUCAGUGGCACAGUGUGAGGUAGAUUUUAAAGUGAUUUUUU